rfam:Clostridium sp. IEH 97212 scaffold_2, whole genome shotgun sequence.
UAAUAAUGUACGUUAGGUGAGGCUCCUAUAUAGAUAUACGCUACUGCCCGGAAACAUCGAGAGAUGCCAAUGGGUUACCAGGUAUUACCGAAAUAAGGUUUUACUUAAUGUAGCUGGCUUUGGUCCAAAGCUAUAUAGUGCUAAAACUCAACGAUUGAUGUUAAAG